GACAGAGGGUGCAAACGUUGUUCGGAAUUACUGGGCGUAAAGCGCGUGUAGGCGGCCACCUAAGUCGGGCGUGAAAUCCCACGGCUCAACCGCGGAAGUGCACUCGAAACUGGAUGGCUAGAGUCCUGGAGAGGAAGGUGGAAUGCUUGGUGUAGAGGUGAAAUUCGUAGAUAUCAAGCGGAACACCGGUGGCGAAGGCGGCCUUCUGGACAGUGACUGACGCUGAGACGGCGAAAGCGUGGGGAGCAAACAGG
rnacentral:rRNA from 1 species